rnacentral:rRNA from 1 species
UGGGGAAUUUUGGACAAUGGGCGCAAGCCUGAUCCAGCCAUGCCGCGUGUCUGAAGAAGGCCUUCGGGUUGUAAAGGACUUUUGUCAGGGAAGAAAAGGACAGGGUUAAUACCCCUGUCUGAUGACGGUACCUGAAGAAUAAGCACCGGCUAACUACGUGCCAGCAGCCGCGGUAAUACGUAGGGUGCGAGCGUUAAUCGGAAUUACUGGGCGUAAAGCGAGCGCAGACGGUUACUUAAGCAGGAUGUGAAAUCCCCGGGCUCAACCUGGGAACUGCGUUCUGAACUGGGUGACUAGAGUGUGUCAGAGGGAGGUAGAAUUCCACGUGUAGCAGUGAAAUGCGUAGAGAUGUGGAGGAAUACCGAUGGCGAAGGCAGCCUCCUGGGAUAACACUGACGUUCAUGCUCGAAAGCGUGGGUAGCAAACAGG